CUUCAGGUGAGGUGUGAUCCAGUCACGUCUCCACAAAUACCUGCUAAGGCAGCCCCCCCCCCCCCCACCUGUCGGUCCUGUGUUCAGAGCGGCUUCCCUCUUGAAGUCAAAGCAGCUGCUAGUUCCUGCCUCUACAACCGCACACGACGAGAUAGCGGGAGUGAGAGGCAGGGCACAGGCUACUACUAUCCCAGACUUCUGAUAAAGACCACAAACCUGCCCCGUGGCGAAAGUGGCCAGCCCCUCUGGCACCCAGGGCCGGGGGAGAAGGGAACUCUGAUUCAGCUAAUCACAGCACCACCCUCACCGCAGAGGAAAAGAAGACACCCUCUCCCCGCCCCAGGGUGCAAAGAGCCCUGGGAGGUUGGACCGGAUGCCGGGAAGAGACGCUGGGGGCCAGAGAGAAGAUGCUCGUUCCCGGGCCAGGGGCAGGGCUAACAGAACAGAUUCCUUAGCGGGCGUCUGAGCGCAGGCGCAUCGCAGGGCAACCACGCUUCCUUCGAGCUGGAACGGGGUGGGGGUGGGGGGGAGUCUCGGGCUUUCAACGAGGAGCGCGUCUGGGCCGCUGCCCGUUCGCUCAGCGGAAACGGGCGGCCGCAACCCUCCAAUUAGCGCGUCCCGGGAGCCCGGCAGCCCUCAGACUCCCACUGGACCUGGUUUCCGGACAGAGUCUGGAGACGGUGACGCGGAUGGAAUACGGGGCCUGGUCUUAACAGAGGUUGAGAUGCCUCCCCGAGGACGUUCGCCAGCUCUGGCCUUGGCAGCGGUGUGAGUCUGGCAACGGGAGCAAGAGAGACCCAUUUGACAAAUUAAAGAUGUGACAAAGGACCGAAGUCUCUGGAAAUUUCCGUCCAAGUGCCGGGGACCGAAUCCGGCCACCCCCCCCCCCCAAUCAGGACAGCGACAAGGGCGGCCACCUUCCUGCCAAGAAGGUCAUCGGGACAUGUUUCCACCCGGCCUGUGAAGGGAAAGUCAACUCUUAGCUCAGUGCUAUUUUUUAAACAUGAGACGAGUUCAAAGGCAGAAUUGGAAGACUUGUCUGUCUUAGAAAUCACUUCCGACCCGGCUGGUUCUCUGUGCGCGGAGACUGAGCGGGAUUGAAUCAGGCGGAGACACAGCUUCCCUCGGCACAGCCACUCGAAGUUAUUACUGUGUCUGCAGAUGGGGGCAUUGGCAAGGUACAUUUACCAUUCUAAAAUCCAGAACGAACUCCAACGCAAGUCUGAGGUCAGUGCAGGAGGCGGGGCCGCGGUCUACGGCUCCCCCAUCCCCCCGUGCUGGAACGCGACAACUCACAGAUUUUCCCAGAAACCUGCAACCCCAGCGUCUCGGUUGCUUUUGCGCUUUUCCCUGCAGCUUUCCCGGGAACACAAACACACCGCACGUGUUUGAGGCGGACAAUUCGAUGUGCGUGCACUUAGGAAACCGAGAUCGUGAACGCCUUCACCCCAAAGUUUCCUCCUGCCCCUUGUCAUCUCCCGGGACGCUUGACCUGCUCCGUCACUUGCAAUUAACCUGCUUUUCCCAGGACGAAUGGGGCCGUCAGCACGCACGCUCUUCAGCCUGGCCUCAGAGCAUGAGUCCAGGGAGCCACUCUGCGGCUCCCAGGCUGGUGUGGGGGCGGCGGUUCCCUCCCCUGCGGCUGCGUGCCCCCCCCCCCGCGGCUGCACCACAGCUGCGGGCUCACCUGCUGACGGGCGUUGGGGUCGGUGCCAGGUUUCGGGGAUUCUAAAUAAAGCUGCCGUGAAUGCAAA